rnacentral:rRNA from 1 species
GAUGAACGCUGGCGGCGUGCCUAAUACAUGCAAGUCGAGCGAACGGACGAGAAGCUUGCUUCUCUGAUGUUAGCGGCGGACGGGUGAGUAACACGUGGAUAACCUACCUAUAAGACUGGGAUAACUUCGGGAAACCGGAGCUAAUACCGGAUAAUAUUUUGAACCGCAUGGUUCAAAAGUGAAAGACGGUCUUGCUGUCACUUAUAGAUGGAUCCGCGCUGCAUUAGCUAGUUGGUAAGGUAACGGCUUACCAAGGCAACGAUGCAUAGCCGACCUGAGAGGGUGAUCGGCCACACUGGAACUGAGACACGGUCCAGACUCCUACGGGAGGCAGCAGUAGGGAAUCUUCCGCAAUGGGCGAAAGCCUGACGGAGCAACGCCGCGUGAGUGAUGAAGGUCUUCGGAUCGUAAAACUCUGUUAUUAGGGAAGAACAUAUGUGUAAGUAACUGUGCACAUCUUGACGGUACCUAAUCAGAAAGCCACGGCUAACUACGUGCCAGCAGCCGCGGUAAUACGUAGGUGGCAAGCGUUAUCCGGAAUUAUUGGGCGUAAAGCGCGCGUAGGCGGUUUUUUAAGUCUGAUGUGAAAGCCCACGGCUCAACCGUGGAGGGUCAUUGGAAACUGGAAAACUUGAGUGCAGAAGAGGAAAGUGGAAUUCCAUGUGUAGCGGUGAAAUGCGCAGAGAUAUGGAGGAACACCAGUGGCGAAGGCGACUUUCUGGUCUGUAACUGACGCUGAUGUGCGAAAGCGUGGGGAUCAAACAGGAUUAGAUACCCUGGUAGUCCACGCCGUAAACGAUGAGUGCUAAGUGUUAGGGGGUUUCCGCCCCUUAGUGCUGCAGCUAACGCAUUAAGCACUCCGCCUGGGGAGUACGACCGCAAGGUUGGAACUCAAAGGAAUUGACGGGGACCCGCACAAGCGGUGGAGCAUGUGGUUUAAUUCGAAGCAACGCGAAGAACCUUACCAAAUCUUGACAUCCUUUGACAACUCUAGAGAUAGAGCCUUCCCCUUCGGGGGACAAAGUGACAGGUGGUGCAUGGUUGUCGUCAGCUCGUGUCGUGAGAUGUUGGGUUAAGUCCCGCAACGAGCGCAACCCUUAAGCUUAGUUGCCAUCAUUAAGUUGGGCACUCUAAGUUGACUGCCGGUGACAAACCGGAGGAAGGUGGGGAUGACGUCAAAUCAUCAUGCCCCUUAUGAUUUGGGCUACACACGUGCUACAAUGGACAAUACAAAGGGCAGCGAAACCGCGAGGUCAAGCAAAUCCCAUAAAGUUGUUCUCAGUUCGGAUUGUAGUCUGCAACUCGACUACAUGAAGCUGGAAUCGCUAGUAAUCGUAGAUCAGCAUGCUACGGUGAAUACGUUCCCGGGUCU